CUUUCCAAAGAUGGAUGCAAAUGCUGGGAAAGCAAGAGUUGAAUUGCUAGCCAUGAGGAAAACGUAAGCCUGAGCUGUUUGCUGGCCAUCUUUGCUUCCACAUGGGGAUGGCCUGCCUGGAAAUGAAGCCACACAGAGAAAACAGAAGAGCAGUGAAGAGAAGGGUAAAAGGAGAGAUCCCAUGACAUGAUUUGCACUCUUAGAUCCAGUUAUGCCUGAUGCAGGACCCACCCCUUGGACUUCCCAUUUCCAGGAGCUAAAACUAGACUGAGUUGAGUUUCUGUCACUGACAGUUGACAGAAAAUAUCAACAAUCCAGCCACAUGGAGCCUCAUGGCAGUACCACUAACCCUGGUCACCACAUGAAUACUGACCAGAGGCAUUUCACCUGAAUCAACUGUUUGUGUUCUUAACUCCAUCUCCUCAUCUGCUUCCUGGAAGACCCAACUGACAUAGAUGGUUACAAGAAAUGAUUUCCUCCUUAUAAAACUCUAGCUUCUUGUAUAGAAGAUACCUAAAAAGUGUUUGCUGAAUGAAGAAAUAAAGG
rnacentral:lncRNA from 10 species